CCUACGGGUGGCAGCAGUCGAGAAUCAUUCACAAUGGGGGAAACCCUGAUGGUGCGACGCCGCGUGGGGGAAUGAAGGUCUUCGGAUUGUAAACCCCUGUCAUGUGGGAGCAAAUUAAAAAGAUAGUACCACAAGAGGAAGAGACGGCUAACUCUGUGCCAGCAGCCGCGGUAAUACAGAGGUCUCAAGCGUUGUUCGGAAUCACUGGGCGUAAAGCGUGCGUAGGCUGUUUCGUAAGUCGUGUGUGAAAGGCGCGGGCUCAACCCGCGGACGGCAGAUGAUACUGCGCGACUAGAGUAAGGGAGGGGGAAGCGGAAUUCUCGGUGUAGCAGUGAAAUGCGUAGAUAUCGAGAGGAACACUCGUGGCGAAGGCGGGUUCCUGGACAUUAACUGACGCUGAGGCACGAAGGCCAGGGGAGCGAAAGGGAUUAGAUACCCCAGUAGUC
rnacentral:rRNA from 1 species